rnacentral:rRNA from 1 species
CUACCCUAGCGGCGGCGGGUGAGUAAUGCUUAGGAAUCUGCCUUUUAGUGGGGGCAACAUUCCGAAAGGAAUGCUUAAUCCCGCAUACGCCCUACGGGGGAAAGCAGGGGAUCUUCGGCCCUUGCGCUUAUAGAUGAGCCUAAGUCAGAUUAGCUAGUUGGUGGGGUAAAGGCCUACCAAGGCGACGAUCUGUAGCGGGUCUGAGAGGAUGAUCCGCCCCUGGGACUGAGACCCGGCCCAGACUCCUACGGGAGGCAGCAGUGGGGAAUAUUGGACAAUGGGCGAAAGCCUGAUCCAGCCAUGCCGCGGUGUGUGAAGAAGGCCUUUUGGUUGUAAAGCACUUUAAGCGAGGAGGAGGCUACUUGGAUUAAUACUCUAGGAUAGGGACGU